AACGAACGCUGGCGGCAGGCCUAAUACAUGCAAGUCGAACGAUCCUUCGGGAUAGUGGCGCACGGGUGAGUAACACGUGGGAACAUACCCUUGGGUGCGGAACAACGUCGGGAAACUGACGCUAAUACCGCAUAAUGACUCCGGUCCAAAGAUUUAUCGCCCAAGGAUUGGCCCGCGCUAGAUUAGGUUGUUGGUGAGGUAACGGCUCACCAAGCCUACGAUCUAUAGCUGGUCUGAGAGGAUGAUCAGCCACACUGGGACUGAGACACGGCCCAGACUCCUACGGGAGGCAGCAGUAAGGAAUAUUGGACAAUGGGGGCAACCCUGAUCCAGCCAUGCCGCGUGAGUGAAGAAGGCCUUAGGGUUGUAAAGCUCUUUCAGGUGCGAAGAUAAUGACUGUAACACCAGAAGAAGCCCCGGCUAAAUUCGUGCCAGCAGCCGCGGUAAAGUAGACGUC
rnacentral:rRNA from 1 species